AUGUGUAUCAUACAUUGUGGGCCUGUUUAUUUCCCAAUUUUAUCUUCUCUCCCCGUAGGCCUCCCUCCUCCAAACAAGUUCUUCUCCCACUAUCAGAUCUUUCUGUUUUGGUUUUUAUUUUGUGGCCCACUGAGUUUAACAAAGGCUACAAUGUAGUUAUCUACUGGAACAUGAACAGUUCACCAGGGUGAUACUUCUGAAGACAAUGAUUCUCAGCCUCCCACAGGCAACUGCCAAUAUCUCAAGAGUUCUGGCCCAAUGUUGACUCUCAAUCCAUAACAGAAUGCUGAAAGGUCCAUACUUGUGAAGGUCCUUCAGUAAGUUCAUGAGUACAAAGGCUAUGCCAUGUUCAUAGACUUUCAUGACUCUCUUCUCUGGUCCAGCUCUUGUAUUCUGUCUGCACACUCUUCAGUGAUUUUUCCCAAAUAUGGAAGAGGUGGUUCAGUGUAUCAUUUAAUUCUAAGCACUCAAUGGCCAGUUGUUCUCAACACUUUCUUUUUCAUUUUUCAGCCAGAUAACUCCAUACAAACUUCCAUACACUGCAUAAAGAAUAUUUUCUGGCAAAGGCUAAAGACAGCGUUAAAUAUUGGAUAUAAACAUAAAUAUUCAAAAGGCAGUUUGAAAACACGUUCAUUUGUCAGAACAGAUGCAAUAGCUUCACCUCUAGGGCCUAUGACAUCCCUACUCUUUGACUAGUAUUUGACCAAGUCCACAGUACCCUCUGGCAGAGUUGAGCUUCAAAUCCAAUCAGAAUGCAAUUGGUUACUGCAUAAAAGUCACGCCACCAUUAAAUCAAUGGGAAGGUUGGCAUUGUAGCAUCCAAGGUCAACAAAUACUCUUAACUAAGACUAUUGAUGAGAUUUCCUCCCAGGUGCCUUCAUCAAAACUGCUGCCAUUCUGAAAGUUAGCCAGCAGGAAGAAAGCUUACAGGUCAGAUCCCACAGGAUUUCUUUACAACUUCCAUCCAGAUUUAAAAAUACUUCAUGGACAUAAAUGUGGAAACACAAGAUCAUCCAAGGAGUCAUCACAUUAGAAAAUGGCUAUUCAACGAUGUCUGCUGUUGUUCAUCAGGCAAGCAUUUGUGUAAUGAGACUAUGGAGAGCACGAUAAGCCAACUUUCCAGUGUAUAUCAUAUUUCAUCGAAAACAAAACUGAAGGUAGAAGAAAUGAUUUGUUGAGACAAGACUAGCUUCACCUUGGCAAAAAUCUAUUUCUUCAAGUUUUGGCAUACCUUUCACCUAUACCAAGCUUUAAGAAAGCUAUAAAGAAGAACUGAUGGGGCUGGUGAGAUGGCUCAGUAAGUAAGAGCACCCGACUGCUCUUCCGAAGGUCCGGAGUUCAAANNNNNNNNNNNNNNNNNNNNNNNNNNNNNNNNNNGGCUCACAACCAUCCUAACGAGAUCUGACUCCCUCUUCUGGAGUGUCUGAAGACAGCUACAGUGUACUUACAUAUAAAUAAAUAAAUCUUUAAAAAAAGAAGAGCUGAUGAAAUACCUCAGUGUCUAAGAACAUAUGAUUCAAGUUUUUUUUCCCGGCACCAAUGUCCAGCAGCUCACAAUUGCCUAUAAUUUCAGCUCAACCAUCAGCUUCUAACCCCUGCAGACACACAUGCACAUAAUUAAAAAGAAUAAAAAGUCUUUAAAAAUAAAUCUUAAGAAAUAAAAAUAUUAACUUGCG
ensembl:processed_transcript